UUUUUUUUAUUUUUUUUGUAAUACCCAAUAGUUGCCAGAUGCUGUCCUGUUGAAAAUUCUUCUUUACGUGAUCCUGGAGGAGGGGUGAUGCUACAUUACUAAGUCCGUCUUUGGUUUGUUCCAAAUUCAGAAGUCUGCUGUACUGUAUACAGACUCCUUUCGAAAGAGGGCACAAUCCAGCUGGCUUGACUGAGUAUCUUCUUUUACAGAUUUGAUUAGAGGUUUAAAAAGGUGGAACAAAAUGGAGAACAAGUCUAAGCCAUGUCAGGAAUUCAACAAAAUGUACACUCUGCAGACACUGCGACGAGGUUUACAACAACUGCUUACCAGGUCACUGCAGUCACCCGGAUAGAGUACGUAUCCAGACCAGAUGGUGGAUCGCACCUAGAAAGGACCUCUACAGCCCUGAAAGACAGCGGAGACCAGGACAACUAGAGCCCCAGAUACAGAUCCCCUGUAAAGACCUUGUUUUUUCUCCAUUUUGUCACCGGUGGAGUUUUGGUUCCUU